AGGAACUCAGAGUCUACCAGGAGAGAUAGCCAAGUAAACACACGCAUUUGGACAAAGAGUAGAAAAGAAUAUGGAAAUACUACUACAGGUGAGAGUGUGGGUCAAUUUUGUCUUUCCAAGUAUCUGGUAGGGAGUGAAUCCUGGCACAAAACCUCAGAGGGAAGUGGUGAAUCAAAUUCCUUUGACAAAGACUAUACAUAGCUCCAGGGAAGCUCUUCCCACUCCACCCCUGCAUCUUUAGGCCACACACACGGAUCAGUGGAGUGCUCAGAGAAGUCCAAA
rnacentral:lncRNA from 1 species